UUUACAGCAUGUUCCAGCUCCGGGCUGCUGAGGAGGGGCGGCAGUGCCAGGAUCGAGCACGUGCAUGUGGCCGAGUGACUGCGCAGGGGUGUCGGAGGGGGCAGCGGGUCCCUCGGGAUCACCGGCCGUAGGCUGGAAGGAGGGGUUUGCCGGCGAGGAAUUACGUUCUGUUACUGGAAGCAAGUGCUGCUCAGCAAAGCGCCGUGAGGCAGAACUGAGGAACCUGCUGGAUGGUAGGGGAAAAAAAUGCAUUGGAUUCUUUGAAUGCUGCUAAAUGGAAACCGUGCCCACACCAUUACGAGUUGCAGCAGCAGGAGGUGGCACAGCCCUCCUGCUGGUCCUGCAGAACGCUCUGCCACCAGGAGCCAACGAGAGGUGGGUGCCCCCCGGGCGCUUCUGCUCCCAGCGCUUUGCGUUUAUUCGUGUGGCUCCAAGCAGCGGGUGCGGGAGCGCAGCCCCUGCCCGUGCGCGGCUUGCUGGCUCCCUGCCGCGCCUCUGGAGCCAGCUGCAGCGGCCGAGCUGCUGAGCACAACGGUGCAGCCAGCCAGGCCUGCAGGCACAGCCCUCAGCUUGGGCCUGCAUCGCAAGGGCUCUUUUCCCUGCUCAUCAGCCAGGUGGUGUUCCCCAGCUGAGGCCAGUCCUGGCUCUCCGGGAGCGCUGUGCAGCACCCAGCAAUGGGGUGAUCGCUGCUUGUGCUCUCGGAGAUGAGAAAGGGCCUGAGCAAGGCACGCAGCCUCGACUCAGAAAGGCUGCAGCCAUUCACAGGCUGAAGGUAAGGGAGCGUGAAGAAAGAUAAGGAGGUAAAAUGAGAAUAAAAUGAAGGUGGUAGACGCA
rnacentral:lncRNA from 1 species